CUUCCCCAGACCCCGCGACCUACCUAUCCCUUCAUUUAAGUUUUGAGGCCUGGAGUGCUUCCAGUGGAUGGCGAUCAGAACGACCUUCUAAGGUCCUCACUGGCUGAGAAGGCCUGAGCCACUUCUGUCAACAGGAGAAAACUCCUUUCGGGGUUCUGAUUGUUCCCCAGACACCAGAGACACUGAAAGAACUCGCUCAGAUCUGUCACCUGGUAUGGUCACAGGGUGUAGAGAACCGGUCUUCUAUGGACAUGUGGAGGACAAUGAGGUCCAGAGAGGAGGAGUGACUUACUCCAAGUCACACAGCCUGUGAGGGGCAGCCAGGCUUUGGUUUUGCCUCUCUCAUUUGGUCAUCCCUUGGGCUGGAGGCCUAGCCAAGUGGUGCACUUUCUGGCCUCAAGCCCCAGCCUUGAAAACCUGGAUGACUCUGGGAUAAGGCUAGUGCUGCAUUUAUUUAAUUAAUUGAUAUUUAAUUAAUUGAUAUUUACUCAUUUAAAUUUAUAUUGAUUAAUUUUGUUCUUUGACAGUUUUAUACAUGUAUAUAUUCCGAUCACCCUAUCCCUCUUUUCUAGCUCUAUCAAUCCUUCUUCCCUCAUCCCUACCAAUCCAGAGUCAGCACUUUUGGUUUUAUUUUCUAUCUAGUUAAUUAGCUCAGUUUUUGGAAAUAGAGUUUCAUGAUGUAGGGCAGGCUGGCCUUAAACUUAAGAGAUCCUCCAGCCUUCGCCUCUGCCUUUGGGAUGCUGAGGUUAAAGGCAUGGACCACCAUACCUGUCCUAUUUAAUUUUCGAAGAAGGUUUUCAUGUACUCCAGACUGGCCUCAAACUCACUACAUAAUUGAAGAUGGCCUUGAACUUCUGAUUCUCCUGCUUCCUCCUCUCUCAUGCCAAGAUAACAGGCCUGUGCCACACAUGUUGUUUAUGUGGUGCUUGAGGCUGAACCUUCAAGUACAUGUAGGCAACCACUCUGUCAUUUCAUCAGUUCCUAUAAAUAAUUAAAAUCAAUCUUCUUACUUUU